GAUCCCGACAGACAGGCCUCCAGCCAGCUUACUGCAGAAGGCGUAGCAGGAGAAAAACAGAGGCUCCAGGUCUUUGUAGGAUGGGUGUCUCGCUGCGAAGUCGUCCACCACAUCAGGGAGCAUGGACCUGUGGCACAAACACUGACAAAGCUGACAUAUCACACACCAAAACCACAUGUCAGCUCGGCUCUGACCAGUCAACAAACCAUCAGAUCAUCGCUAGAAUAUUCAUCAGUGACCAGGUUCAGGGGCCUCGGAAACGGACGGAGAACUUUAUGUCCUGGCAGGGAAAUUACACUCACCAGGGGAGCAGGAAUACGGUCGCAAUGCUGAAUCCCAUCAGAAUGCACAUAAUCAUGAAGACUGGCAGGUUACUGGGGACACAAGCGACUAUGAUCGAAGCCGGGAUGAAGAGCUGACAGAGACAUAAACAGGCAGUGUUUCUCUAUUAUUAACGUCGACCACUGAGUGGGUGACUCACCACGCUGCUCCGUCACCCCGAGGAAGAGAACCAGACUGCAGAGGAAAAACAGGGCACCCAUGACCAGAGCUGAGGUCAGGAAAGCCUUUUGCUGCGGGCAGAAAUACACACAUUAAACAUUUAAACAUUAAAAAGACACAAUUAUU